rnacentral:rRNA from 1 species
GACAGAGGAGCCAAGCGUUGUCCGGAUUGACUGGGCGUAAAGCGCACGCAGGCGGGGGCGCGCGUGGGGGGUGAAACCUGGCCGCUUAACGGCCAGCGGCCAUCCCAUACGGCGCGCCUGGAGCCUUGCAGAGGGCGGUGGAAUUGCCGGUGUAGUGGUGAAAUGCGUAGAGAUCGGAAGGAACGCCCGUGGCGAAAGCGAGGCCCUGGACGUCUGCUGACGCUGAGACGCGAAAGCUAGGGGAGCGAACGGG